rnacentral:rRNA from 1 species
UACAUGGGGUGCAAACGUUGCUCGGAAUUAUUGGGCGUAAAGCGCACGUAGGCGGUUCGUUAAGUCGGAUGUGAAAGCCCUCGGCUCAACUGAGGAAGUGCACCCGAAACUGGCGAGCUUGAGUACGAAAGAGGAUCGCGGAAUUCCCGGUGUAGAGGUGAAAUUCGUAGAUAUCGGGAGGAACACCGGUGGCGAAGGCAGCGAUCUGGGUCGAUACUGACGCUGAGGUGCGAAAGCGUGGGGAGCAAACAGG